rnacentral:rRNA from 1 species
UACGGAGGGUGCAAGCGUUAUCCGGAUUUAUUGGGUUUAAAGGGUCCGUAGGCUGAUUUGUAAGUCAGUGGUGAAAUCUCACAGCUUAACUGUGAAACUGCCAUUGAUACUGCAAGUCUUGAGUGUUGUUGAAGUAGCUGGAAUAAGUAGUGUAGCGGUGAAAUGCAUAGAUAUUACUUAGAACACCAAUUGCGAAGGCAGGUUACUAAGCAACAACUGACGCUGAUGGACGAAAGCGUGGGGAGCGAAC